UCUGAGACACGAAUCCAGACCCUACGGGGUGCAGCAGGCGCGAAAACUUGGCAAUGCGAGAAAUCGUGACCAGGGAACUCCAAGUGCAUCGGGUAAGACCGGUGCUUUUCUUGACUCUAAAUAGGUCUUGGAAUAAGGGGUGGGUAAGGACGGUGCCAGCCGCCGCGGUAAUACCGGCGCCUCAAGUGGUAGUCGCUUUUAUUGGGCCUAAAACGUCCGUAGCCGGUCUGAUACAUUCGUGGGUAAAUCAACCAGCUCAACUGGUUGAAUUCUGCGAGGACGGUCAGACUUGGGACCGGGAGAGGUGUGGGGUACGCUCAGGGUAGGGGUAAAAUCCUGUCAUCCUGAGCGGACCACCUGUUGCGAAGGCGCCACACUAGAACGGAUCCGACGGUCAGGGACGAAGCCUAGGGGCACGAACCGGAUUAGAUACCCGGGUAGUCCUAGGUGUAAACGCUGUGGACUUGAUGUUGGGGGUGCUCCGAGCACUCUCAGUGUCGAAGCGAAGGUGAUAAGUCCACUGCCUGGGAAGUACGGUCGCAAGGCUGAAACUUAAAGGAAUUGGCGGGGGAGCACCGCAACCUGAGGAUUGUGCGGUUUAAUUGGAUUCAACGCCGGAAAACUCACCAUAGCCGACGGACAUAUGAAGGUCAGUGUAAUGAACUUACCCGAUUGUUCGAGAGGUAGUGCAUGGCCGCCGUCAGUUCGUACCGCAAGGCGUUCUGUUAAGUCAGAUAACGAACGAGACCCUCAUCUCUAUUUGCUAACUAGAUCUCCGGAUUUAGUGCACUAUAGAGAGACCGCUGGCGCUAAGUCAGAGGAAGGGGAGGGCAACGGUAGGUCAGUAUGCUCCGAAUGCUAUGGGCUACACGCGCAAUACAAAGGACGGGACAAUGGGCUGCUGCUCCGAAAGGAACGAUAGCUAUCCCGAAACCCGUUCGUAGUUCGGAUUGAGGGCUGUAACUCGCCCUCAUG
rnacentral:rRNA from 1 species